CUUUUUGUGUUGCAUCCAUUCUUUAUUAGUAGAAAUUAUAAAUAUUGAAAAAUAAUAGUACAUAAAUAUAACUUUAUAUUAUACGAUUUAACAUAAAAAGUGAAAAACAUUGUCCCAUAUAAAAUUUAUUGGGCCUUUAUGUAAUAUAUUGGGCUUUUAUUUCGUUUCUUCCACACUUAAAUUUAAACACUCUUAAGGAUUACACUCAAAUUUGAAAUCGCAGAGACUUACAAGAAAUUCUUCUCCAUCUCUGUUUCUUCACUUGUAUCAAUCGCUUGGCAGAUAGCAGGUUCGCGAUAUGAGGAUUCCAAGCUUGUAAAGAAAAGUGCAUCCAAUUCCAACAAAGAUGAUGUGAUGCUUGAAGAGGAGCAACGAAUGCAUUCUGUUCCCCAUUACUACAUGCUGUUCUUGGAGAGGAGCAAAAUGGAAAUGAAUUAUAAUAUACAGUCCCCAUGAAAAGGCCUAUGGACUUUUUUCUUUUUCCUAGUAUCAUGUAAACAUAAAUCAGAGUGAUUAAAAAAUGUCUUCCCUAUUUAGCUCCUCAACUAUGAUACCAAAAAUUUUCUAAUUUGACAUAACUUGAAUUUAGAAUCCCUUAAAUUGAAUUAGGAACUGUUUCUUUCUCUGCUUUUUAAUAGCUUCUGCUUGCAAAACUUCUUCUACUAUUGUACUUGAAUGUAUCUUUUUUGGUUGAAAAGAAAAAAAACAAAGAAAUUCUAAGAGAGAGAGAGUGUUUGUGUGUGUAAUUCUCCUUCCAUAUUUAGCCCGUCUUAAUUUUUAAAAGCUAAGGUUAUCAAUUUUGAACAUUUGUGUCAUAGGACCGAUGCCACUUUCCUGGAUAAAUUCCUACAGAAAGGUAAACUCACAAUUCCUUUUUGCUCUUUGCUCUUGUAAAAUUUAUUUGAAGGCUCUGGUUGAUUCCUCUGCUACUUUUAAAGGCUAUAUUUUCUUGCACUGAUGGGAACGCCUAUGGACGACCCGUUGGUAAGUUUAUUACUUUUUGGCUGAGAAAUGCAUGGAUGCCUUUGCUCAGUUACUGAUUCAAGUGACAUAUGGCGACGAACUUACUUACCAUUUCUUUUUCUUAUAUAUCUCUAGUUUGCAGUGUUCCGACUAUGUAUAUCACUUUUAUCUCGAAUCACUGGCAGCAGCAAGUAGGCUAAACAAAAGAUAGAAAAAAGUAACAUUAUAGUUUUUUUAAUUGAUUUAUACCUCGAGUCUUUGUAUAUUCACACAAUAUUGUAAUUGAUGAGAUGAACACUCGCUUUUAAUUGAUUUCUUAAUGUUUCGAGCAUAGAACUAUAGUUGGAGAUUGAAGGUUUCAAAUGUUAGUCUUCCUUUAAAUAUGCUGAUCUUUGAGGAAUGUAUUUGAGUUGAUCGACGUUUUUUAUUAUUUUGUUCUUUGGGGGUGCCCUUAUGGGUUGUGGGUGCAUCAUGGUUACAAUGUUAUACUUGAUUGUCCUUACUAUUAACAUCUUUUUCUGAAUUUCACAACCCAGGUGGAUCAAUUUUGGCCCCAUUUGCUGACUCUUUUGCUCCUUUGUAUUUCACAGAGAGACAUUAAGGAAGUUAUGCCAACUGAGCAGCCUUGUGAUUUAGCAUAUGAAUUUGGGGAUGGACUUUUUGAUGUGAAAGAAUUCCCACAAGGCUUUCCAAAACCUGUUAAACAUCCUUACCCUUUCAACCAUCAACUUGUUAUAUAUAUCCGUCAUAUAGGUCCAGGGGUUUGUAUAGGUCAAGCAUGGCAAAAGGGAACAAAGAUAAAGCAAGUGCCACGAAAUUAUGCAGCGAAAUUUUAAUGGUGAAGGAUUAUAGAUCAUUGUGAGAUCAUUGAAUGAAUUAUUUGUUAUACAGCUUGCAUCCAAUGUUUGCUGUUUUAGUUAGAGAUGGAACAGAGUGUAUAGCUUGUUAAGAGAAUUGAAUGGUGUCAGAGGUUACUUUAUUGACAAGUGACUGCCACAGUGUUUCGAUCAUAGCAAUGUAUUUAUAUCCUUAUUCAGACUCAAGGUAGUUUGUACUUUAUAGACAUUAUUGAUUAUUCUGGUUGAAAAAUGAAUACAAGUAGUUACCUUAGUUGUUUAUUUGAAAUUCAAAAUGUAAUGAUUUUGUUAGGAGUGUACUUACAUAUUCACCUUUAUUCACAUCAGCAUGCAAUAAACAGAAAGUAUUUACAAUCUCUUCUAGGAUUUAAACCUGUUUUCAUUCUAAAUGUCUCUAAAAACACUUCAGAGCACAGCAUACACACGAACUAAAACUCUUAAUAAAAAAUGGUCAUAUGAACAGGGUUUUAUUUUCACCAGCUUAGGAAGGCCAAGAUUGGCAUAUAAGAUUAUUACUGAUUGAAUCGUUCUUAUAUUCUAAUUAAUGAUAACGAAAAGGUUUAUUUGAUAAACUAAUCUCUAUAGUUGACAUAUUUCCAUGUUAAAUACAAGUUGCACCUGAACCUUUGCAGAUGUUGCACUCGCAAUUUUGUCAAAUCGAACCGAUACAAAACAUAAAUUAUAUAGCAUUUCAUGAUAAAUACAUAUUCUAACUAAAGCAAACGAAGAUCGAUAUUCAUAAGGAACCUAAUUAAAAAACAUUAAACAUGAAGACAGUUAGACAGAGCCUAUAAAA